CAGCCGCCGCGGUAAUACGUAGGUCCCGAGCGUUGUCCGGAUUUAUUGGGCGUAAAGCGAGCGCAGGCGGUUUGAUAAGUCUGAAGUUAAAGGCUGUGGCUCAACCAUAGUUCGCUUUGGAAACUGUCAAACUUGAGUGCAGAAGGGGAGAGUGGAAUUCCAUGUGUAGCGGUGAAAUGCGUAGAUAUAUGGAGGAACACCGGUGGCGAAAGCGGCUCUCUGGUCUGUAACUGACGCUGAGGCUCGAAAGCGUGGGGAGCGAACAGGAUUAGAUACCCGCGUAGUCCCUGUCUCUUAUACA
rnacentral:rRNA from 1 species